rnacentral:sRNA from 1 species
UUCUGGGAUACCACUCUGUGGGUCCUUGUGCCAAACCCUAAACAUGUACAAACUAUUAGAAACACUAGCAGUCUGACUUGGUAAUAUGCCAUUUUAAUAGAAUAAGUUAAAACUUUCAACAACGGAUCUCUUGGCUCUCGCAUCGAUGAAGAACGCAGCGAAAUGCGAUAAGUAAUGUGAAUUGCAGAAUUCCGUGAAUCAUUGAAUCUUUGAACGCACAUUGCGCCCUUUGGUAUUCCUUAGGGCAUGCCUGUUCGAGCGUCACUAUAUACCCUCUCACAUAUAAUGUGGUAUUGGCCAAAGUGGUGGGAAAUACUCCCAUAAGUCACUAUGCCAAAAUUUAUUGCACGGACAACUAAUACCGCCAACUGACUUUGUAAGCAUUAUUGAGCAUGUAAACCAGUCAGGAGUCGGUGAAGUUGGGCAAACCUUGGACCCCCAUCCAGUAUAAUUUUCUUGGUUGACCUCGGAUCAGGUAGGGAUACCCGCUGAACUUAAGCAUAUCAAUAA